rnacentral:rRNA from 1 species
CUGGCGGCGUGCCUAAUACAUGCAAGUCGAACGCAUCACUUCGGUGAUGAGUGGCGAACGGGUGAGUAAAAGAUAAGGAACCUGCCCUAGGCAGGGGGAUAACGACCGGAAACGGACGCUAAAACCGCAUAGGCUGGGAAUUCGCAUGAGGAUCCAGUUAAAUAUCCUUUAGGGGAUAGGCAAAGGAGGGACUUAUCACGCAUUAGCUAGUUGGUGGGGUAACGGCCUACCAAGGCGACGAUGCGUAGCCGGCCUGAGAGGGCGGACGGCCACACUGGGACUGAGACACGGCCCAGACUCCUACGGGAGGCAGCAGUAGGGAAUUUUCGGCAAUGGGCGAAAGCCUGACCGAGCAACGCCGCGUGAACGAAGAAGGUCUUCGGAUUGUAAAGUUCUGUUAUAGAGGAAGAAUGGUGUACGAAGGAAAUGGCGUACAAAUGACGGUACUCUGUGAGGAAGCCACGGCUAACUACGUGCCAGCAGCCGCGGUAAUACGUAGGUGGCGAGCGUUAUCCGGAAUCAUUGGGCGUAAAGAGGGAGCAGGCGGCCUGGAGGGUCUAUUGUUAAAAGGCAAUGGCUUAACCAUUGUAAGGCGAAGAAACCGGCAGGCUAGAGUUCUAAAGAGGAUCGUGGAAUUCCAUGUGUAGCGGUGAAAUGCGUAGAUAUAUGGAGGAACACCAGUGGCGAAGGCGACGAUCUGGGAAGAAACAGACGCUGAGUCCCGAAAGCGUGGGGAGCAAAUAGGAUUAGAUACCCUAGUAGUCCACGCCGUAAACGAUGAGUAAUAAGGGUUGGGGGUCAAACCUCAGUGCUGUAGUUAACGCAAUAAGUACUCCGCCUGAGUAGUACGUUCGCAAGAAUGAAAAUCAAAGGAAUUGACGGGGGCCCGCACAAGCGGUGGAGCAUGUGGUUUAAUUCGAAGCAACGCGAAGAACCAUACCAGGUCUAGACAUCGAUCUAAAGGCCCUAGAGAUAGGGAGAUAGUUAUAGAGAAGACAGGUGGUGCAUGGUUGUCGUCAGCUCGUGUCGUGAGAUGUUGGGUUAAGUCCCGCAACGAGCGCAACCCUUGUCGUUAGUUACCAGCAGUAAGAUGGGGACUCUAACGAGACCGCCGGUGAGAAGCCGGAGGAAGACGGGGAUGACGUCAAAUCAUCAUGCCCCGUAUGACAUGGGCGACACACGUGCUACAAUGGUCGGUACAGAGAGAAGCGAAGCUGUGAAGUGGAGCGAAACUCAAAAAGCCGAUCGUAGUCCGGAUUGCAGUCUGCAACUCGACUGCAUGAAGCUGGAAUCGCUAGUAAUCGCAAGUCAGCCAUAUUUCGGUGAAUACGUUCUCGGGC